rnacentral:rRNA from 1 species
CGGCGGACGGGUGAGUAAUGUCUGGGAAACUGCCUGGUGGAGGGGGAUAACUACUGGAAACGGUAGCUAAUACCGCAUAACGUCGCAAGACCAAAGAGGGGGACCUUCGGGCCUCUUGCCAUCAGAUGUGCCCAGAUGGGAUUAGCUAGUAGGUGGGGUAACGGCUCACCUAGGCGACGAUCCCUAGCUGGUCUGAGAGGAUGACCAGCCACACUGGAACUGAGACACGGUCCAGACUCCUACGGGAGGCAGCAGUGGGGAAUAUUGCACAAUGGGCGCAAGCCUGAUGCAGCCAUGCCGCGUGUACGAAGAAGGCCUUCGGGUUGUAAAGUACUUUCAGCGGGGAGGAAGGUGUUGUGGUUAAUAACCACAGCAAUUGACGUUACCCGCAGAAGAAGCACCGGCUAACUCCGUGCCAGCAGCCGCGGUAAUACGGAGGGUGCAGGCGUUAAUCGGAAUUACUGGGCGUAAAGCGCACGCAGGCGGUCUGUCAAGUCGGAUGUGAAAUCCCCGGGCUCAACCUGGGAACUGCAUUCGAAACUGGCAGGCUAGAGUCUUGUAAGGGGGGUAGAAUUCCAGGUGUAGCGGUGAAAUGCGUAG